AUUGAACGCUGGCGGCAGGCCUAACACAUGCAAGUCGAGCGAGCGGCGGACGGGUGAGUAAUGUAUGGGGACUGCCCGUUAGAGGGGGCUACCUACUGGAAACGGUAGCUAAUACCGCAUACAUACGGAUAACCCAUAUGGGAUUAGUUAGUUGGUGCGGUAAUGGCUCACCAAGGCGACGAUCCCUAGCUGGUCUGAGAGGCUGAUCAGCCACACUGGAACUGAGACACGGCCCAGACUCCUACGGAGGCAGCAGUGGGGAAUAUUGCACAAUGGACGCAAGCCUGAUGCAGCAUUGCCGCGUGUAUGAAGAAGGCCCUAGGGUUGUAAAGUACUUUCAGUCUGGAGGCGUUACCGACAGAAGAAGCACCGGCUAACUCCGUGCCAGCAGCCGCGGUAAUUC
rnacentral:rRNA from 1 species